GUAGUUAGCCGGGGCUUCCUCCUGUGGUACCGUCAUUUAUUUCGUCCCACAGGACAGAUGUUUACAAUCCGAAGACCUUCUUCCUUCACGCGGCGUUGCUGGGUCAGGCUUUCGCCCAUUGCCCAAUAUUCCCCACUGCUGCCUCCCGUAGGAGUCUGGACCGUGUCUCAGUUCCAGUGUGGCCGUUCACCCUCUCAGGUCGGCUACCCAUCGUCGGUUUGGUGGGCCGUUACCCCGCCAACUGCCUAAUGGGACGCGAGCCCAUCUCAAAGUGGAUUUCUCCUUUGACCUCUGCACCAUGUGAUGCUGUGGUCUUAUGCGGUAUUAGCAAACGUUUCCAUUUGUUGUCCCCCUNUUUGAGGCAGGUUGCUCACGCGUUACUCACCCGUCCGCCACUAAGUCAUAACAUGACUCCAUCCGAAAACUUCGUCUCGUUAUGCUUCGUUCGACUUGCAUGUGUUAAGCACGCCGCCAGCGUUCGUCCUGAGCCAGAAUCAAACUCUGA
rnacentral:rRNA from 1 species